UACCUAUACUGAUUCUUUUAUUAUACUCACCAAGAACUAUAAGGUAAUUUUAAUCAAAAUCUUUUAUCAAAUCGACAUUUUAUAGCAAAAAGAAAAUUUUCAACCACCAUCGUCUGUGGCCAUCUUACAAAUGAUGUAGAGUUUAUCCCCAAACGCAUUCAAAAACCAAAACAUUUCGAUCUCACGUGGUUUUCACUUCGAAAUCAAGGGAUAAGUCAAAUGGGGCAAAACGAAGUGCAAUUCAUUUGAAUCUCACGUGAACACCAUACGAAAAAAAAGGAUUUUGCUCUAGCGAUCAGCUGGUUUCAAAUGAUUUUAAUACCGAUUUAACAUGCAAAGCAUGUUGGGGUCACAGGAAAAUCAUGUGAAUUUAUCGUGAAUAUUUUUGUUGAGGUUCACGUGGAAAAACACAUGAUUUUGCUAUGUUGGUUUCUUUCAGUGAACAUGAUCCAUACUUUUUUCAUUGGAUUUUCAUGUAUGAUUCACGUGGAAUGCACUUCGAUUCGCCCCAACGGCCAAAUAAUAUGAUAUUCAAGUGUAAAUCACGUUCGAUUUGCAUGUUUUGAUUUUGAUACCGAAGUGAAAACCCUUAGUUUAAUCUAGAAAAGAAAGAUGGCGAGAAUGAAGAAAGCAGUGCAAGUCGCCAAAGAUAAUUUCCUGAAUUUUUGAAAAUUUACGAAGCGGAAAACAUAAGCUCCCGUGCUACAUCUCUAUAUACCCGGAUGAUAGCGUUGCUUAUGGUCAAAGCGGAUUGUUUAAGGAGCGGGAGCAGAUCCAGAUUAUUCUUUUUUCGGACGGUGCAUUAUUCGGUGGCUCACAAAGCCUUUUAGCCUGCUGCAAGAGUCACGAAAUUCCGCCAUGAAAAACGCCCUCUGAUUGCUAGUAUUUUUAUUUUUUUCGCGUGAUGAAGAUCGCGUUUAUUUUUUUAAGUUGCAGAAUAGUGUGUAAAUUCCAAAUCGGUGAUGUGAAUUUACUGAAAUAAAGAAAACAUUACCACGAAAA